rnacentral:rRNA from 1 species
UACGAAGGGGGCUAGCGUUGCUCGGAAUCACUGGGCGUAAAGGGUGCGUAGGCGGGUCUUUAAGUCAGGGGUGAAAUCCUGGAGCUCAACUCCAGAACUGCCUUUGAUACUGAGGAUCUUGAGUUCGGGAGAGGUGAGUGGAACUGCGAGUGUAGAGGUGAAAUUCGUAGAUAUUCGUAAGAACACCAGUGGCGAAGGCGGCUCACUGGCCCGAUACUGACGCUGAGGCACGAAAGCGUGGGGAGCAAACAGGG